rnacentral:rRNA from 1 species
UAUGCUUAGCCAUAAACUUAGAUAACCUUUUACUUAAAAAUCCGCCCGGGUACUACGAGCAUGAGCUUGAAACCCAAAGGACUUGGCGGUGCUUAACACCCCCCUAGAGGAGCCUGUUCUAUAACCGAUAACCCUCGUUAAACCUCACCCUUUCUGGCCAAUCCCGCCUAUAUACCGCCGUCGUCAGCUUACCCUGUGAAGGACUCAUAGUAAGCACAAUUAGUAAAACCCAAAACGUCAGGUCGAGGUGUAGCAUAUGAGAGGGGAAGAAAUGGGCUACAUUUCCUGCAUGCAGGAUACAACGAAAAGUACGAUGAAAUACGCACCAGAAGGAGGAUUUAGAAGUAAGUUAGAAGCAGAGCGUCUCACUGAAACCGGCCCUUAAGCGCGCA